rnacentral:rRNA from 1 species
GUCCCAUCAGGUAGUUGGUGAGGUAACGGCUCACCAAGCCAACGACGGGUAGCCGGUGUGAGAGCACGACCGGCCAGAGGGGGACUGAGACACGGCCCCCACUCCUACGGGAGGCAGCAGCAGGGAAUCUUGCGCAAUGGGCGAAAGCCUGACGCAGCGACGCCGCGUGGAGGAAGAAGGCCUGCGGGUUGUAAACUUCUUUUCUGGGGGAAGACAUCCGACGGUACCCUAGGAAUAAGCCUCGGCUAACUACGUGCCAGCAGCCGCGGUAAUACGUAGGAGGCUAGCGUUGUCCGGAUUUACUGGGCGUAAAGGGAGCGCAGGUGGCUGAGUUCGUCGAUGGUGCAAGCUCCAGGCUCAACCUGGAGAGGUCUGUCGAUACUGCUCGGCUUGAGGACGGUAGAGGAGCACGGAAUUCCUGGUGUAGUGGUGAAAUGCGUAGAUAUCAGGAGGAACACCGGUGGCGAAAGCGGUGCUCUGG